rnacentral:rRNA from 1 species
GUACGGGAGGCAGCAGUAGGGAAUAUUGGACAAUGGGGGAAACCCUGAUCCAGCAAUGCCGCGUGUGCGAUGAAGGCCUGCGGGUUGUAAAGCACUUUCGGUGGGGAAGAAAUGCCCAAAGAUAAUACCUUUGGGAGCUGACGUUACCCACAGAAGAAGCACCGGCAAACUCUGUGCCAGCAGCCGCGGUAAUACAGAGGGUGCAAGCGUUAGUCGGAGUUACUGGGCGUAAAGGGCGUGUAGGCUGAUAUCCCAGUCGAUUGUGAAAUCCCCGGGCUUAACCUGGGAAUUGCAGUCGAUACUAGAUGUCUUGAGUAUGGUAGAGGAAAGUGGAAUUCUCGGUGUAGUGGUUAAAUACGUAGAUAUCGAGAAGAACAUCGGUGGCGAAGGCGGCUUUCUGGACCAAUACUGACGCUGAGGCGCGAAAGCGUGGGGAGCAAACAGGAUUAGAUACCCCUGUAGUCAC